UCCAGACUCCUACGGGAGGCAGCAGUGGGGAAUAUUGGGCAAUGGGCGCAAGCCUGACCCAGCAACGCCGCGUGAAGGAAGAAGGCUUUCGGGUUGUAAACUUCUUUUAUCAGGGACGAAGCAAGUGACGGUACCUGAUGAAUAAGCCACGGCUAACUACGUGCCAGCAGCCGCGGUAAUACGUAGGUGGCAAGCGUUAUCCGGAUUUACUGGGUGUAAAGGGCGUGUAGGCGGGAGUGCAAGUCAGAUGUGAAAACUAUGGGCUCAACCCAUGGCCUGCAUUUGAAACUGUACUUCUUGAGUGCUGGAGAGGCAAUCGGAAUUCCGUGUGUAGCGGUGAAAUGCGUAGAUAUACGGAGGAACACCAGUGGCGAAGGCGGCCUGCUGGACAGAAACUGACGUUGAGGCUCGAAAGCGUGGGGAGCAAACAGGAUUAGAUACCCGGGUACU
rnacentral:rRNA from 1 species